rnacentral:lncRNA from 1 species
ACUGAUAAAGAAACACUCACUUUCCAGUUGCAAUCUCUUAUAAUGGUAGGGAUUGUGAGUUCAGUUAUAAGAGAAGGAUAAGAAUUGGUCUUUUCCAAUUUCGCAAUUUGCUUUUGGAGGGAUGUUCUAUCACUUGCAAAAGACAAAUCUCUUGGUAAUUUCUUCAAUUGUGGGUUCUAUAGAAGGGUCUGAAACUUCUUUACCUUUCGACGAUUGAGUUUUGGAAUAGGAACCUUUGAUGCCAGAGCUAGAAGAAGGGGAGUAGAACCAGUUAAACCUCCACCUGUAGAUCUCAUACUUCAAAUUCUUCAUCCUUUUCCUCUUGAAUGUUUGAUCGGAGCAGGUGCAUUAGGAAAUUUAUCGAGAAGUAAAACCUUUCUGGGGUUUGGGUUUGGAGAUGCCAUUGUUAGACAAUCUUGAAGUAAG